GGUGAACGCUGGCGGUAGGCCUAACACAUGCAAGUCGAACGGCAGCACAGUAAGAGCUUGCUCUUACGGGUGGCGAGUGGCGGACGGGUGAGGAAUACAUCGGAAUCUACUUUUUCGUGGGGGAUAACGUAGGGAAACUUACGCUAAUACCGCAUACGACCUACGGGUGAAAGCAGGGGAUCUUCGGACCUUGCGCGAUCGAAUGAGCCGAUGUCGGAUUAGCUAGUUGGCGGGGUAAAGGCCCACCAAGGCGACGAUCCGUAGCUGGUCUGAGAGGAUGAUCAGCCACACUGGAACUGAGACACGGUCCAGACUCCUACGGGAGGCAGCAGUGGGGAAUAUUGGACAAUGGGCGCAAGCCUGAUCCAGCCAUACCGCGUGGGUGAAGAAGGCCUUCGGGUCGUAAAGCCCUUUUGUUGGGAAAGAAAAGCAGCAGGUUAAUACCCCGCUGUUCUGACGGUACCCAAAGAAUAAGCACCGGCUAACUUCGUG
rnacentral:rRNA from 1 species